GUAGGUGAACCUGCGGAAGGAUCAUUAAUGAAUAAACCUGGUUUGCUGUUGCUGGCUCUUCGGAGUAUGUGCACGCUUAUCAUCUUUAUAUUUCCACCUGUGCACCUUUUGUAGACUUGGAUUAUCUCUCGAGGCAACUCGGAUGUGGGUUUGCAGUUGUGAAAACUCUGCUUUCCUUGUAUUAUCCAGUCUAUGUUAAUUAUAUACACCAUUAGUAUGUUUAUAGAAUGUCGUUAUUAGGAUUUGAAAAUCCUUUUAAUCAAAUACAACUUUCAGCAACGGAUCUCUUGGCUCUC
rnacentral:misc_RNA from 1 species